rnacentral:lncRNA from 1 species
GCCAGAUUACAGCAGAGUCAGAUUUCAAGUACUUGUUUUAACCAGAGAUACCUGAAGGGCACACAUCUUUCUGUUGAUUCAUAGGUCUGCUCAUAGUCAGCAAGAGACCUGGAUCGUUCUGACUUCCCAGUCUUGAGAAGUGUCCUGUUAUUACCAAUGAGUCUGGGUCCUGGAAUCUGGAAAAAUGCUCUAUGCCUCCUGUGAACAGGACCCAGUGAAUGGAAUGUCGCCCUGGGAUGUGGAAAUCUCAAGUUUCCUGGACGUAGGGAAGUUUAGAAGGGAGAGUCAAAUGAAGAUUCACAGUCUUGAGAUCGCUGCUAAAGGUGACCUAGGAAAAUGCUCCUCUCGCCAAUCAUGGGAACAACAGGAGUUUUAAAGUGGUACCUCUCUGAUGCUGGAAGGCCCUGAGUCUCUAGGAAAAGUCUGGUGGCCCUGGAACUAGGCCUUUGGAGGUGUGACAGGAAGGGCCUUGGACAAGGAGUCAGGAAGGCAGAUUUCUGGUGCUGGUGCUCUGCUCCCCACUGGAGGGCUGACCUUGGAUCAGUCAUUUACAUCUCCAGGUAUCAAUUUUUUUCCCUGACAAUUUUGAGAUUGUGCUAGAAUCAUAAUACCUGAAGAAUAAAUCACACAAUCCCUCCCCA